GACGAACGCUGGCGGCGUGCUUAACACAUGCAAGUCGAACGGUAAGGCCCUUCGGGGUACACGAGUGGCGAACGGGUGAGUAACACGUGGGUGAUCUGCCCUGCACUUCGGGAUAAGCCUGGGAAACUGGGUCUAAUACCGGAUAGGACCACUGCCUGCAUGGGCGGUGGUGGAAAGCUUUUGCGGUGUGGGAUGGGCCCGCGGCCUAUCAGCUUGUUGGUGGGGUGAUGGCCUACCAAGGCGACGACGGGUAGCCGGCCUGAGAGGGUGGCCGGCCACACUGGGACUGAGAUACGGCCCAGACUCCUACGGGAGGCAGCAGUGGGGAAUAUUGCACAAUGGGCGCAAGCCUGAUGCAACGACGCCGCGUGAGGGAUGACGGCCUUCGGGUUGUAAACCUCUUUCAGCACCGACGAAGCGCAAGUGACGGUAGGUGCAGAAGAAGGACCGGCCAACUACGUGCCAGCAGCCGCCGUAA
rnacentral:rRNA from 1 species